UCUACCUGAGAGCUAUCUUCAUGAACACAUCGAAUAGAGAAGAAAUUCUCACAUAUCAAAGAUGCAGUGGAGUCUGUAUCUGCUUAUUCUGAUGGGUCAGUGUUGCUUCUUUACAUGCCGCCUGUAUGAGUACCACUUUAUUGCAGAAAACAAGAGCUGGUAUGAAGCACAGAGAUACUGCAGAGAGAAUUAUACAGACCUGGCCAAAGUGUUUGACAUGACAGACAUGAGCAGACUCCGUAACUCCACACAGAAUCAAGGAGAAGCCUGGAUUGGACUGAACAACAACACAGAUGGAAACAAGGCGUGGCAUUGGUCUCUGCCAGGAGUGGAAUACAUUCAAAAUGACAGCAGCUGG